GAGCAGUAGAAUCAUGGUGACAAAUUUUUAGUGUGCAUGAAGGCUUUAAUAUAUUUUUAUUUAAUUUUGACAUUAUUAAAUAAAGGAGCACUGUGUUAGAGCAAAAGGCUCCUUUAGAACGGUACCAGUAUAGUAGCUUAAAGAACAGAAGUUUUCUAUCAAAAUUGUUUGAAGGGCGUGUUCUAGGUCACGACUCUGCUUUCUAAUGUUAUCCAAAGAUAGAGAUUCCUCCCCUGCAUUCCUAAGGUCAGAGCUGAGUACCCUUAUCAUUUGUGUGGUCAAAUGUAGACGGCUCCAUUGAUGCUGGUAGGAAUAAAAAGAACAUGGAUGGAAAGUAUAUAGCCAGAGCCAUCAAAUAGCUUAGGUAUAAAGAAUAGCCAUGCAUUGGAGGAUGGGACAGUUGCUGUGCAGACAUGUGAGUAUGGAGAGCAGAGGUAACCCUCAGAUGUGCUUCCCACUCACUCGCUGGGGGGAGGGGGAUUUGUACAUACAUAAAAAUAUGUAAUACUAUAUGUUACAUAUAUAAUUAUAAGUUAAAACUUUGAAAACACACACACACACACACACACACACACACACACACGUAUGUGAGUAUUUGCCUGAAUACUCUGUUCACUAUGUGAAUACAAUGCCGAUGGGAGGCCAAAAGAAGCCUGAUCCCCUAGGCCUGGAGUUAGAGUUGUAAGCUUUCACGUGGGUGCUACAAAUUGAAAUCCCAGCCUUCUGGAAGAAGUAGCAAGUACUUUUAACUGGUGAGCUGUUUUUUUCUAGCCUUCUAUCUUGUUUUCUUGAGACAGCCUAUCGUUGAACCUGGAGCUCACUGUUGGCUAGACUGGCUGAGGAGAGACCCCAGGACCCUUCUCUCUCUAUUAUCACAGAGACCCAUCACUAUGCCUGGCUUAAAAUGGGUGCUGGGGAUCUGAAUUGAGGUCCUCAUGCUUAUAUGCAAGCCCUUGGCUGUGGAACUAUUUCUUCAGGUCCCUGGGCAGGUAGUAGGUUUUGAUGACCAUCUGUCAACAUCUCUUACAGUUGGUCUAGUGGAUAGGAAAGGGAAAAAAGAUUGAAUAUGCUGUGAUGUGCUAUCUUUUUCUUUCAAAACUGACUUAAUCUUCUUGCUGAAUUCUGUUAUGAUUAGUCUGGAUUGUGCACCAGUUUUAGAAGAGCAAGAAACGUGUAUGUUUCUUAAAUUGGUUUAACUAUUGUGUUAUAUAGCUCUCUUUGUAUAUGUAUCUAUGUAGUAAUUUACUAGUAUAAUAGAGUAUUUGUAGAAUUCUAUUCUAUGGAAGUUACUUCCACUAAAUUUUUGCUACUAUUUGAAUAGGGGGAAAAAAAGCAAGUGUAACAUGAUAUUUCAAAAUUUUCGUUUUUAAAUCCUUCUUUUCAAAAGUCACACUAAAAUUAGAAAGUAUACUGAAGUUUAUAAAGAUAGUGAUAGAGAUGAAGAUUAAGAAUUUCUGAGAUGAGUAUGACAGAGCGUCACCAGAAGCUCUUAGCUAUUCUGGAAUGUGAACCAGGCAGCUGAUCUAGUACCAGGAAGUGUGGGCAAAAUCUGGUCAACAAAGUAGGAACUGAUUCUGACAAUCAGCGGUAUUUAUGUGUAUAGCAAGGCAACAUGCUGAGAAUCCCAGAAGCCGAAGCAUUAUGAGGUGAAGACUGGCUCCACUAGAGCUAAGUACGUUUGGAAGGCAAGAUAAAUGUGCACAAGAUAAGCAGCCAUCUUUAGCACACCUCAGAGGUCAUUGCGAGCUAAGCAGUGAGCUUGUGAAGGCUACAAAGAUGCAAAAGAGUCCAGGCUUCUUGGGAUCAGAGGACUGGAUGUAGUGAGGUGGCAGCACUUUGGGUGGGUCCUCAUGCCAUGGUAAGUUACUAUGGAAGGAAUGCCUGCCUGCCAGGGGACCCUUUCAUUGCCCCACUGACUUGCAUCAUGCUGUCUAAUCCCUGUUCUCUAUGACCUUCCUCCUUUCACUUUCUAGGUGUCCCAGGACUGUGCUUCUUAACGAGAUAUUUAUGUGGAGGUUUCUGGUUUCAUACUGUCCAGCUGGACAGUGUUAGAACCUAGCAUCUGAGCCCUUCACCUGACACAAUGUUACUUGAACCACUUGAAUGAGUCACACCUCAGAGCAUCAGCAUUGAGCUGCCUUCCUGGGGGAGUUGGAAAGUGACAUUACACAAAAGGGAUAUGAAAAGAAGAGGUCAAAAUUAAUUGGAGCCUACCUUCCCCAGCCUCCAACAGCGAAUGGAGCUGCCGUGGUUCGGUGUAGACUGCAGCCCGGUGAAGGCGUUCCGAGGAGACCUUUCCGCUCUGCCCACAUCGGGGUGUGCGACAUCCGAGAAGCUGCGGCCCGGGAGCGGGCGGCCAGUGCAGCGGGGAACCGGCCUCUGUUUUACUUUCGUUUCGGUGAGCCCUGCAUUCCUGAGAGAGACCAGCCCAUGGGCAAAGGAUACCUUUGGAAGUCUUUUCCCUCAAGUAUAGGGCUGGCACUGAAGGAGAUAGAGGUUAGGUUCCCAAAGACCUUGGUCCUUAAGCUCAGAAUUUGCGCGCAUAAAUGGUGAUUGUCCUAGAAUCAGGGUCCUUUCUACAUUUGCUGUUAACUUACAGUGUUCUAUCUGUAAUUCUUGGUCAGCUGACGCCUCCAGUGUGGAGAACUUAGAAAGGGAUGCAUGUCCAAUGAUAAGAAUUUACCCCUUAACGUUGUUGCACUGUUGUCUUAAAGCCAGAUAUUCUAGGCAGAGAAUGAGUAAUUCUAUCUUGAUCGUGAGAUGUGAUAAAAGGAAGGACAUUGAGACAUGCUUGCUUUCUUACUCCUAUCACCAAGGAUUAAGAUGUUAGGUUUCUUUCUUUCUUUUUUUAUGUCAUUGGAUUUAUUUAUAAAAUCUUGCUGAUUAAAUAAAAAUAAGGCAGUUAAAGGUGGAUACAUAUUAACAUCACCAA